rnacentral:rRNA from 1 species
GUGAGGAAUUUUCCGCAAUGGGCGAAAGCCUGACGGAGCAAUGCCGCGUGAAGGAUGAAGGCCUAUGGGUAGUAAACUUCUUUUCUCAGAAAAGAAUUAUGACGGUAUCUGAGGAAUAAGCAUCGGCUAACUCUGUGCCAGCAGCCGCGGUAAGACAGAGGAUGCAAGCGUUAUCCGGAAUGAUUGGGCGUAAAGCGUCUGUAGGUUGUUUAAAAAGUAUUCUGUCAAAGAUUAGGGCUUAACCCUAGAUAGGCAGAAUAAACUUUUAAGCUAGAGUUUGGUAGAGGCAGAGGGAAUUCCCGGUGGAGCGGUGAAAUGCGUAGAUAUCGGGAGGAACACCAAAGGCGAAGGCACUCUGCUGGGCCAAUACUAACACUGAGAGACGAAAGCGAGGGGAGCAAAUGGGAUUAGAUACCCUGGUAGUCC